AGCGAACGCUGGCGGCAGGCCUAACACAUGCAAGUCGAACGAGGCCUUCGGGAUUAGUGGCGGACGGGUGAGUAACACGUGGGAACGUGCCUUUUGGUUCGGAACAACUCAGGGAAACUUGAGCUAAUACCGGAUGUGCCCUUCGAGGGAAAGAUUUAUCGCCAUUAGAGCGGCCCGCGUCUGAUUAGCUUGUUGGUGAGGUAAAGGCUCACCAAGGCUACGAUCAGUAGCUGGUCUGAGAGGAUGAUCAGCCACACUGGGACUGAGACACGGCCCAGACUCCUACGGGAGGCAGCAGUGGGGAAUCUUGCGCAAUGGGCGAAAGCCUGACGCAGCCAUGCCGCGUGAAUGAUGAAGGUCUUAGGAUUGUAAAAUUCUUUCACCGGGGACGAUAAUGACGGUACCCGGAGAAGAAGCUCCGGCUAACUUCGUGCCAGCAGCCGCCGUAACAC
rnacentral:rRNA from 1 species